CUUACUACUUUACUUUUCUAUUCCAUUUUGUUCCUUCUUUCUCCGUCUUCGAUUCACAGAGAAUUUCUUUGGCUGGCAUGUCGUUUUAUCUGAAGCGAUCUAGAGGUGGUUUCAAUAUCAAUUAAUCGAGAUGAUUUAGAGAAGCAGGUACGGUCUCGCGUAUCAUGUGAUUUUAGGCCAUUCCUGCAUUUAUUUCUCGAUUCCUAUUUUUGUUUUAGGAUGAAUUUCUUAUUCAUUCGAUCAACCAGAAGUUCAGAACAGAUAUGAAAAGAUUAAAAUCACAGAUUGUUCAUGGGAGGACUCGUGGAGCUUGGAGUUUCGAUCAUGGCGGUGGUUGAGAGUGCGGGGAUAGAUUUGGGGAUCAAUGUUAGUACCUCAAGUCACGCUUCUCUAACUUGCUCUUUUCGUUCUCUUGCUCUUUGUCCCAGAUUUUGCUCGUCUCGAGACUCUCUGUCCUGCAGUAACUAGUAUUUUCAGGUCCCUAUAGCUUUAUUCCUUCAAGAAAUAGUGAGUAGUUGAGGUUUUAGUAAUGGGUGCUUCUGGGAAGUGGUUCAAAUCCUUAAUAGGCCACAAAAAGCUCGACAAGGAUGACAAUGAAAAGGUCAGUAGGAAGAAAGGGAAAUGGAAGCUAUGGAAAAGCUCUUCUGCUGAUCUCGGAUCUUCAUGGAAGGGUUUUAAAGGUCGGCAGAAAGCUGCAUCAGACUUCGGAUUCUUCAUCUGUGGCUGAUGUGUAUUGUGCUGCAGUUGCUACUGUCGUUAGGGCUCCACCAAAAGGAUUUCAAAAUUGUGAGGCAAGAAUGGGCUGCAAUCCAGAUUGGCGUUACGUGGAUUUUCUGGUAGAUAUGUUUCAUUUGUUCCAACUAGGGGUCCUUUAGAUGGCUGAUCCUGGGAUUCCCCGAAUAUUUUCCAAAAUGUAAUUUUGGAUAGACUUGAGACUUGGAAGAUCAAACUUUACAUAGUAA